rnacentral:rRNA from 1 species
AUUGAACGCUGGCGGCAUGCUUUACACAUGCAAGUCGAACGGUAACAGGGUGCUUGCACCGCUGACGAGUGGCGAACGGGUGAGUAAUGCGUCGGAACGUGCCGAGUAGUGGGGGAUAACGCAGCGAAAGUUGUGCUAAUACCGCAUACGUACUGAGGUAGAAAGUGGGGGACCUUCGGGCCUCACGCUAUUCGAGCGGCCGACGUCUGAUUAGCUAGUAGGUGAGGUAAAGGCUCACCUAGGCGACGAUCAGUAGCGGGUCUGAGAGGAUGAUCCGCCACAAUGGGACGGAGACACGGCCCAGACACCUACGGGAGGCAGCAGUGGGGAAUUUUGGACAAUGGGCGAAAGCCUGAUCCAGCCAUGCCGCGUGUCUGAAGAAGGCCUUCGGGUUGUAAAGGACUUUUGUCGGGGAGGAAAUCCCCAGCGUUAAUACCGCUGGGGGAUGACAGUACCUGAAGAAUAAGCACCGGCUAACUACGUGCCAGCAGCCGCGGUAACAC